UAAAUAUUAUUUUUCCCUUUUUCUUUUUGUAUUUUCUCUCACAUAAUUACCGUGUAUCUGCAAACCCCAAUACAAUCUCUCUCUAUCUGUUUGCAUACAAUCAGACUCUUUUCUCUCACAAACCCUAGUUCCUUAACUCUUCUUUCACCCAAAUUCUCAAUUUUCUGCUCCGCGUCGCCAACGUUAUCAUCAGCUAUUGUCUGAGCCGGAAUAUGAGCGACCGCACUCACGUACUUCACAUAUUGCAUCCACGGUGGAGAAACCUCCUGGGCCGUCGGAGGCAAUUAGGAGGUCCGGCGACCCAAUUGGAGGUGUGUUCAUGUAUCAAUGGAAUAAAACAGGUAUAAAAGAGUAAAUUUGGAUGAAAUAUGUUGAUGAAACACAGGGAUCAAAAUAUUAUAUGAAAAUAUUUAUGAGUCUUGGAGAGAUUGGCUGGUGGGUUACAAGAUCCAGAAAAGCUAGAAGUGGGGAAGAGAGAAGAUGAAGAAGAAGCAGAGAGAGAAACCCAGCUAGAAGUGUUUUCGAAUGUAUUCUUCAGCUGUAUUCACUUGUAUUCAGGUUUAAUCGGUUGUAUUUAACUAUUUU
rnacentral:lncRNA from 1 species